CAUACCUAUUCGAAGGGAUAGGGUCGGUUUGGCCGGAUUUCACACAGGUGUUGCAUGGCUGUCGUCAGCUCGUGUCGUGAGAUGUUGGGUUAAGUCCCGCAACGAGCGCAACCCUCAUCCUUAGUUACCAUCAGGUUAUGCUGGGGACUUUAAGGAAACUGCCAGUGAUAAACUGGAGGAAGGUGGGGAUGAUGUCAAGUCAUCAUGGCCCUUAUGGAGUGGGCUACACACGUGCUACAAUGGUGGCUACAAUGGGCUGCAAAGUCGCGAGGCUAAGCCAAUCCCUUAAAAGCCAUCUCAGUUCGGAUUGUACUCUGCAACUCGAGUGCAUGAAGUUGGAAUCGCUAGUAAUCGUGGAUCAGCACGCCACGGUGAAUACGUUCUCGGGUCUUGUACACACUGCCCGUCACGCCAUGGGAAUUGGUUUCACUCGAAGCU
rnacentral:rRNA from 1 species